CGAAUUUACCGUCCGUCCGCGAGUUAUCGAGCGCUACACACCAUAGCGCCUUUCAUCGUUAAUUAUCGUGUAUUUGAACUUUCAACUGUAGGCAUUACGUUAGUUCGUACAAAGUCCUAAGGACUCUCUUAGCUUUGAUUGCGCGUAGUAUUGUUCAUCUUGAAGUGCUUGACAUUUUGCAUUUGAAGUUAAUAACCGAAUAGAAUAGUACCAACAUUCCAUUGGUAACUAUGCAAGCACCGCACAAUUCUACACCGAGGAUAAAAUCUGUAUUAAAGACGAAUGUAUAAAGACGAGUGCAUUAAUCUUUCGUUAAUAAAAAAUGUAAUGCAUUUCCUAGGAGAGGUGUUCACGUUAUCUUUUGUUCACACCGCCUGUAUUUUUGCUAAAAAUAAAAAUCUCAAGACUGAGUCAGGAUCCACGAUAAAAAGGAAGAAAGUCAGUAAAAUCUUCGCUCCAGAUCCUGUUAUCGCGAACCCGCCGCGAUCGUUCCGUGUCGUAUCGAUUUGUGCAGCUGAGCGUCGAGGGUGGAUAUCGCGAAAAUCAAAUCCGGGGGAAAUUACGUGAGGAUUAUACACGGUCAGUCACGAGGCAGAGGCCGCCCAGGAGGGAAAGAGCCUUGCGCACGUUGGCAUCUCGAAAGUUCCGCGCUCUCUUCCUCUCUCUCUCUCUCUCUCUCUCUCUCUCUCUCUCUCUCUCUCUCUCUCUUUCGAUCCGCAGCUGCUGCGAUAAUGGCCGGUUUACGCGGAAACCGGUAGCCGGGUGGUGGUAGCUAGUAGUCAAGUAGCGGAUUUAUGCUAGGCCGCUUAACUCCCUCUUUUUCGAGCGAGUACUCGGGCUGUAAAACGCUGUUUACACAGUCGCGAGCCCGCUUUGGGCGGAUCGGUCGCGCGAUUAUGCCAAAGGAAUGCGCCCGCACCGUCAUUUUCCCAUUAUUCCGGUUCGAGUCUCGGGCCUUGUAAUACGAGCUGGCGAUCUCCCCGAUGGGGGAUCCCCGACACGUCCAAGAUAAACGGACCGCGCGCUCGCGCGCGCGCGCGCGCUAUUGACGACGAACGAUAACGCGAGUAUCGGGAACGAUAAUUCGGAUUAUUACUACAGGGUUGUCUCUCUGAGACCGCGGAGAGGAAGAGUAUAAACCGGAGACGUCUUUUCUCUCGGCGGGAUUCCGACUAUCCGAUUCGUGCACGCAAUAGACUCAACAGGGUUGAUGAUUAUUACUCUUGUGGAGCGUAGGCCAUAAGCCGGUCUUGUGUAACCGAGUGCGAUAUUCAUGUGCCGCGGCGCGUUCUUCCCCUUCCUUUUUUUUUGCCCUCUCUUUGAGAAACGUGAGUGUGCACGGAAUCCCCGUCGUAUCUUCGUCGACGAUCAAGUUCAUCGUCUCUCUUACGUGCGAAUUGUCGUACGGCAAAAGAUCUCUUUUACAAUUCCUAAUUUAACAUCAUCUCUAUACGUCACUCACUGGACGGAUCUAGAAUAAAAAGUAACCAUAUUCUACAAAAAGAAAAUCAAUAAACAUUUCUAAAAGUAGCAUCUUAAUUGCUACCAUGCUUUUCUGUAAAAAAGGAAGGACUCGGAAACGGGCCUUUCUUUUAGAUUCAAAGUAGAAUAAUUCCCUUAAUUACUCGUGGCUGGGAGCCUUGAGUAUACAGGACGAGGUCCACGAGCUUGUCGGGAGAUUGUUUGUCGAGGCGAGCAAAGAGAUUUGCCUCGUUACGGCCUUUAAAAGUUAUAACGACAAAAGUUGCUCGCUCUUUCUUUGAAUAUUCCGAGUAUCAUCGCGUAAACUGACGCAAGUCAUUUAAGUCCCGGCGUAAUUCUCACGUUAAUAUUCACACGACGAAUAACAUAAGAUGUCGAGAGAACUUGACAUGCAAAGCUUGGCUAUCCGUUUGCGGCUGCGCAGAAAAAAAUUAGAAUCAAUUAACAAUCAUUAGCUUACAUGUAAUCAAGAAUAUAAAAUUUUCUCUCUCUAAAGAGUUUAAAUCUUAAAUUUCCGCAAAAUAUUAUAUUUUUAUAUAAAUCAAUAUUAUAACAAUUAUUAUAAAAGCGCAAUACGUAUGAUUGUUUUGAUAACAAUAAUGUUAUAUCGAAAGAAAAAAAUA